UCCGCUUUCGGGUGGAGAGCGUACACAGGUGCUGCAUGGCUGUCGUCAGCUCGUGUCGUGAGAUGUUGGGUUAAGUCCCGCCAACGAGCGCAACCCCUGCAUUCAGUUGCCAUCGGGUGAAGCCGGGCACUCUGGAAGGACUGCCAUCGACAAGAUGGAGGAAGGUGGGGACGACGUCAAGUCAUCAUGGCCCUUAUGUCCAGGGCGACACACGUGCUACAAUGGCCGGCACAACGGGAAGCGAGUUCGCGAGGACGAGCGGAUCCCUUAAAGCCGGUCGCAGUUCGGAUUGAAGUCUGCAACUCGACUUCAUGAAGCUGGAAUCGCUAGUAAUCGCAGAUCAGCCAAGCUGCGGUGAAUACGUUCCCGGGCCUU
rnacentral:rRNA from 1 species